rnacentral:rRNA from 1 species
UAAAAAGCUCGUAGUUGGACUUGUGUCCCACGCUGUCGGUUCACCGCUCGUCGGUGUCUAACUGGCAUGGUUCGUGGGACGUCCUGCCGGUGGUGGCGAGUCGAAAGCGCGCUCCUGUCGCAGUUCGCUGUGUACAGUUCUUGUGCGCCUAGACGGACCCCGAUCAAAUCCUACCGCGGUGCUCUUCGCCGAGUGUCGAGGUGGGCCGGCACGUUUACUUUGAACAAAUUAAAGUGCUUAAAGCAGGCCUUUUGCGCCUGAAUACUGUGUGCAUGGAAUAAUGGAAUAGGACCUCGGUUCUAUUUUGUUGGUUUUCGGAACCCGAGGUAAUGAUUAAUAGGGACAGGCGGGGGCAUUCGUAUUGCGACGUUAGAGGUGAAAUUCUUGGAUCGUCGCAAGACGGACCGAAGCGAAAGCAUUUGCCAAGUAUGUUUUCAUUAAUCAAGAACGAAAGUUAGAGGUUCGAAGGCGAUCAGAUACCGCCCUAGUUCUAACCAUAAACGAUGCCAGCUAGCGAUCCGCCGAAGUUCCUCCGAUGACUCGGCGGGCAGCUCCCGGGAAACCAAAGCUUUUGGGUUCCGGGG